rnacentral:rRNA from 1 species
CCAGCUCCAAGAGUGUAUAUUAAAGUUGUUGCAGUUAAAAAGCUCGUAGUUGGAUUUCGGCGUGCGCUCAGGCUGGUCGGCCGUCAAGGUCUGUACCGUUUGGGUCACGCCCCACUGUAGGAUACUCACCGCUGUCCUUAACUGGGUGGCUGUCAAAGGGGGUGUGCAUGGGGGCAACUCUGUGCAUAUCUCUGGGGUUCCUACUCUUUUACUUUGAGCAAAUUAGAGUGUUCAAAGCAGGCAAUCGAGCCUUGAAUACUUCAGCAUGGGAUAAUGGAACAGGACUGGGGUCCUGAUUUCGUUGGUUUCUGGGAUCUCAGUAAUGAUUAAUAGGGAUAGUUGGGGGCAUUAGUAUUUAAUUGUCAGAGGUGAGAUUCUUGGAUUUAUGAAUGACUAACUUCUGCGAAAGCAUUUGCCAAGGAUGUUUUCAUUAAUCAAGAACGAAAGUUAGGGGAUCGAAGACGAUCAGAUACCGUCGUAGUCUUAACCAUAAACGAUGCCGACCAGCGAUUGGGAGACGUUACAUGGAUGACUCCCCCAGCAGCUUGCGAGAAAUCACAAGUCUUUGGGUUCCGGGGGGAGUAUGGUCGCAAGGCUGAAACUUAAAGGAAUUGACGGAAGGGCACCACCAGGAGUGGAGCCUGCGGCUUAAUUCGACUCAAC